CCUACGGGUGGCUGCAGUGAGGAAUAUUGGUCAAUGGACGUAAGCCUGAACCAGCCAAGUCGCGUGAGUGAUGAAGGUUCUAUGGAUCGUAAACCUCUUUUAUAAGGGAAUAAAGUGUGGGACGUGUCCUAUUUUGUAUGUACCUUAUGUAUAAGGAUCGGCCAACUCCGUACCAGCAGCCGCGGUAAUACGGAGGAUCCGAGCGUUAUCCGGAUUUAUUGGGUUUAAAGGGUGCGUAGGCGGCCUUUUAAGUCAGCGGUGAAAGUCUGUGGCUCAACCAUAGAAUUGCCGUUGAAACUGGAGGGCUUGAGUAUGUUUGAGGCAGGCAGAAUGCGUGGUGUAGCGGUGAAAUGCUUAGAUAUCACGCAGAACCCCGAUUGCGAAGGCAGCCUGCCAAGCCAUGACUGACGCUGAUGCACGAAAGCGUGGGGAUCAAACAGGAUUAGAUACCCCAGUAGUC
rnacentral:rRNA from 1 species